rnacentral:rRNA from 1 species
CGGGCGAGUGGCGAACGGGUGAGUAAUAUAUCGGAACGUGCCCAGUAGUGGGGGGUAGCCCGGCGAAAGCCGGAUUAAUACCGCAUACGACCUACGGGUGAAAGGGGGGGAGUCGCAAGACCUCUCGCUAUUGGAGCGGCCGAUAUCAGAUUAGGUAGUUGGUGGGGUAAAGGCCUACCAAGCCUGCGAUCUGUAGUUGGUCUGAGAGGACGACCAGCCACACUGGGACUGAGACACGGCCCAG